GGGGUUGUGGCUCAGUGGUAGAGCACUUGCCUUGCAUGUUUGGGGAACUGGGUUCAAUUCUCAGUACCA
rnacentral:tRNA from 1 species